GAGAAAGUUACAAGAACUGCUAACUCUUGAACCCGUGACUAAAUCUCAUGGCUUCCUCA
rnacentral:tRNA from 1 species